ensembl:lincRNA
GUUAUAAUUUGUGAAGUGCAGUUUCAUGUACAGCUCCAAAGAACGAUAUUCAAGCGAGUCGUGUUGGGGUUCUUUGAUAUUAGCUCUUGUAAUACUAUAUGUGAAAGGGUAUUCCGAUAGUUCAUCUAUAAUCGAGAAAAAUGUUUCGUUAAAAAAAAAAAUUCUCUUCCGGUUGUUUUCAGUGACGCGAAAGACAUGCUGGAAGAGAUAUGUUGGGGAGUGAUACUGAAUGUGAGAGCUCGAACCGAGGAGUGCAACAGGGACAAGCUGAUGUGGUCGAGUACAAUUCCGAUGAUAGUUUUUCAAUGAUGGGAGUGGAAGGACAUGAGUCAUUGGACAGUUCGAGUGAUUCUCGCAAAGCUUCAACCCUGAGAGACAGCAGUCCAACAUUUAGCCAAAGCAGUCAUGAUUCAAACUGGAAGCAACAUUCCAGACCACUUCGACAAGUGCAGAGCGACGAUUUGCAACAUUACAACUUUGGGUUCCUGGGUAACAGAAGUAAGAUGGGCAAGCCAUCGCAGCACCUGAUUGAAGAUUAUCAGAAAGCUGCCAUGAAUGGACUUUUUCGGUAUAUCCAGACACUGAAAGAGAAACGGUGUCUCUCUCAAAUCUACGAGCUCUUGGGAUCUGCCAAGGAUAACAGCUCGGAUGAUGAAGAAAAGGGACAUUUUUUCGAUCAGGAAUCCCUAUUUUCAUCUGAUGAGGAAGCAGUUGCUGGGCAUGAUGGACAAACUGAUGUGGACAUUGAACUUGACGAAAUCAAUGUCGUGGACACAGAGAUGUUUGUGUUGAAAAGAAGUGUUGAAAGUGAUAUCACUCGUCUGGAACAUCAAGAAGGCAACCAACUGACUGUUUUAAAUGGGGAAAAAUGCAAAAAGAAGGGAAAAUCCAAAGGCAGGAGGUGGCCUAAGUGAGUAAAGCUGGUGAUAUGACUGGCCACAAAUAGGUUGGAUUCUGGAAUACGUUAUUAUUUUUCAUAUAAACAACGUGAAUAUUUUUGGUAAAGUUAUAUUUUCCUUUACUUUGCAUCAUAUAUGCUCACUUUUGUAUUAUACAGUUUCAUUAUGAGGAACAUUUGUUUGAAUAAAUGUUGUCAUAAGAGUGCUUUUGAUGAAUGCGUCUCAGCUGGAUUAUAUGAAAUGUCGAUUUUGUUUUUUCUUUGAAUUCACAAUUAUUAAAAUCUGUUGAACCUUUACAUGGAAUUUAAAUAAAACUUAUGAACAGUUUGUUCAGCACUAUAGCAGCAAAUGAAACUGAAAAAUCAAAACAAUGCCACCAACUGGAGAGUUCGUAGAACACAUUACCUCAUGCAGUGUUUAAGUUUAUAAUUAAUUUGAAAUAAAAUAAUGAUUUUGAAGGUCAUAUGAAAAAAAAAAUUCCGGAAGUUUAGUGCCGUUGAUGCAGUGUCUUGUACACCACCUUAAAUAACAUGUCCAAGUACUGCUGGAUGGAAGGGUUUUGAAAGUGGUGUAAAGGUGAUUUGUGUACUGCAGUAUUCAAGAGUAUAAUUCAUUUGAAAUAUCAAGGUCUUAAAGGUCGCAAAGCCUGGUGUUGGCUUAGCGGUUAAGGUAACUGGCUUGGGACCUUAGAGUCCUGAGUUAAAGACCCUUUUUUACCGUUGAAUUAAUACGAGGUGGGGUUGACUUGGCCUGUAAUCCUUCUGAGGUUGGCGGAAUGAGAACCAGUGUACUGGGGUAAUAACCAUGUGGGAUAACCUGCAUCGGAGUGGCGACCCGUCCAGGACUGUACUCCUUGUUAAUGAAAGUGCCUCGGCAGCCCUACGUGUUUUUUACGGCACGAAAGGAAUGGUAUUAUUAUUAUUAUUAUUAUUAUUAUUAUUAUUAUUAUUAUUAUUAUUAUCAUUCAAGGCUACAGAAAAAAAAAUCCAGACAUUUAUCGCUGGAGAUGCCAGUGUCUUAUACACCACCUUAUUUAUCAUGUUAUAUUCGUUCUUCGUGCCUGUUGGUUGAGUCCUUUUAUAACUUCCUUAAAACCAGUAAGUUUCCUGUUUGGAAUGAUUUUCAAUUUUGUUUGAUUGUCAGGCAGACAGAAUUUUUUUUUUAAUCUCACUCCUAUCUGCGCAUGUGUGAUCGAGACAAAUUCAGAGCCAAAGUACUGAUAAACUACAGGUUUGUUUUCCAAUUCGUGUUCAAAAUAUCACGUUCAAUUGAAAUGAAGUUGUUCCGUGAUCAUAAACUGACAUUUGUAGAUGGACAGACAGACAGACAAGUGAACCGAUUGGUUAACCCCGUUUUUCGCUUCAUGUGCACAGGGUAAAAUGUGGUCAAACUGAGGGGGAGGCAAAACAGCAGGUUGAUGCAAAAUAGUUUCACUGGAAUGGCUCUGAAUAUGGCAGGUGACCUGAUGAUUAAAAUGCUUUCCCUUGAGCUGGAUGAUUCUGGCGUUGAUCGAAUAAAACAUUUGCUUGAUGAAUUGCCAGCAGGCGGGUGUUGCAUCAUGUAGCCGGUAUUCCCUUGUAUAUUAUGGAUGUUUUUCUUGAAUGUUUUUUUUUCUUUUCUUCCUGCAAUCAUUUCAUCAAAGACUACCAGCUAUCAUUUAUUUACCUUUUUAUCAGGGCAGAAGCGAGUGGGCAGUAUAUGAGAGUAUAAGGAACUGCUUGAUAAUGAAAAAAGCAGAAAGAGAGUGUGUUAUGAAUGAUUUGAUCUGCUCAUUGGCAAUAUAUAAAGCAACAACGAUCCAUGAUAUUGUCUACCCUUAAAAAUAUUCAUCAUAUGAGUUUCUUUACAAGGAAAUCCAACGCAGGAGGAGGAGGAGGAAAUUAGGCCUAUCAAAGCCUGUGCUAUUAUUGCCAACCUUUGGUUGUUUGUCUUUGCUCAGUCCUUUUAAAUAUUGAGCGUCAAGCAAAGAAGCAGCAUUUACUGUUUUAUAAUCGUUUGGUAGGAUACAGCUGGGGGU